AAGUCUGGUGCCAGCAGCCGCGGUAAUUCCAGCUCCAAUAGCGUAUAUUAAAAUUGUUGCGUCUAAAAAGCUCGUAGUUUGAAAACUUGCCUUGGCUUACAUUAGGGCUUCAUUAAGUCCGCCGUUUGUUGGGUGCAAAUAUCGAUGACUGUUUUUGCCAACUUCAUUGUUAGGCUUAUAAGAGUUAUCAAAUAUCACUUUGAUUAAAUUAGAGUGCUUAAAGCAAGUGUGUAACUUGAAUAUAAAUGCAUGGAAUGAUGGAAUAUGUUGUUGUUCUAUUUGUUGGUUUUUGAACGAUGAAAUGAUUGAAAGGAACUGUUGGGGGCAUUCGUAUUGUUGUGAGAGAGGUGAAAUUCUUAGACCACAGCAAGACGAACUACUGCGAAAGCAUUUGCCAAGAAUGUUUUCAUUGAUCAAGAACGAAAGUUAGAGGUUCGAAGGCGAUCAGAUACCGCCCUAGUUCUAACCAUAA
rnacentral:rRNA from 1 species